rfam:Caenorhabditis briggsae complete genome, chrIV
CGUUCUAUUAAAACUAUUCAGGGCCUUCAUUAAGACCCGGUGUUCAAUUUUUGGAGCCUUGUCGCUUGCGGCAAGGG